GUGGUCAUUUUGCUUGAGAGAGGCAGCGGGCACCGGCUCUCCACGCACCGCGAACAUGAGCGACGUCUCCCGGCACUCUGCAGCCCGCAUCGGCACCCGUUUGAGAGGAGCAUGCACCGCCUCGUCCGCGGAAGUGAUUGGCCGCGGUCGCUUCCUCGCCUUCUGAUGCGUCAAGUCCAUGAUAUCCGUCUCGUCCAUUUGAAAAGGAUUUUAUUCUUAUUUUCUUUCUUUUUUUCUUUUUGGUAGGCAAACGGCACCUGCCAAACGCGAGGAGGCGGUUCGGGAGCACGGCGGGGAGAACGUGGCUGUCUGGCGAAGCAGCUCGCUUGCAAUGGCUGGGAGAAGUCAAAGCCCCCGACAACAUUAGCAUCGCAGCGCCCGGGGCUCUUCCAAUCGAGGCUGUCGCUCUUUCAGUGGCAGCAGAAGGCAAGGGGAGCUGCAGGGCAAACGGGAGAGAAAUCACAUGGCUGCUCUUCAAAAGGGGACCUGUGUAAGGCAGCCGGCAAAGUGCGUGGGAUCACACUCAGAAUGCAGGGUCACAGGUAAGCUGGAGCCUAUCCCAGCUGACCUCGGGCGAGAGGCGGGGUGCACCUUGAACUGGUCGCCAGCCAGGGUACGUACUGUCUAUCCAAACAAGCAUGCACACGCAGAGAGCAC